rnacentral:rRNA from 1 species
UACGUAGGGUGCGAGCGUUGUCCGGAAUUAUUGGGCGUAAAGAGCUCGUAGGCGGUGUGUCACGUCGGCCGUGAAAACCUGCAGCUUAACUGUGGGCGUGCGGUCGAUACGGGCAUCACUGGAGUUCGGCAGGGGAGACUGGAAUUCCAGGUGUAGCGGUGAAAUGCGUAGAUAUCUGGAGGAACACCGGUGGCGAAGGCGGCAUUCUGGACUGCAACUGACACUGAAAGACGAAAGCCAGGGGAGCAAACGGG